GACGAACGCUGGCGGCGUGCUUAACACAUGCAAGUCGAACGAUGAAGCUGGAGCUUGCUCCAGUGGAUUAGUGGCGAACGGGUGAGUAACACGUGAGCAAUCUGCCCUUGACUCUGGGAUAACUGCGGGAAACUGUAGCUAAUACCGGAUACGACACCUUGGGGCAUCCCGAGGUGUGGAAAGAAUUUCGGUCAAGGAUGAGCUCGCGGCCUAUCAGCUAGUUGGUGAGGUAAAGGCUCACCAAGGCGACGACGGGUAGCCGGCCUGAGAGGGUGACCGGCCACACUGGAACUGAGAUACGGUCCAGACUCCUACGGGAGGCAGCAGUGGGGAAUAUUGCACAAUGGGCGCAAGCCUGAUGCAGCAACGCCGCGUGAGGGAUGAAGGCCUUCGGGUUGUAAACCUCUUUUAGCAGGGAAGAAGCGAAAGUGACGGUACCUGCAGAAAAAGC
rnacentral:rRNA from 1 species